UACGUAGGGUGCGAGCGUUGUCCGGAAUUAUUGGGCGUAAAGAGCUCGUAGGCGGUUUGUUGCGUCGGCCGUGAAAACCUGCAGCUUAACUGUGGGCCUGCGGCCGAUACGGGCAGACUUGAGUUCGGUAGGGGAGGCUGGAAUUCCUGGUGUAGCGGUGAAAUGCGCAGAUAUCAGGAGGAACACCGGUGGCGAAGGCGGGUCUCUGGGCCGAUACUGACGCUGAGGAGCGAAAGCGUGGGGAGCGAACAGG
rnacentral:rRNA from 1 species